rnacentral:lncRNA from 1 species
UAUUGUGUGGCAUGAAGCAUCUAAUUAUGGGGUUCCCUUUUUUUUCAUUACAUGCAGGCUUUUACUCAAAUUCCAGAUUUAAAUGUGUGGUAUGGGCCUGAUUCAUACAUGGGUGCCAAUAUUGCUAAACUGUUUCAACAAAUGACAGCGAUGACAGAUGAUGAAAUUACUGAAGUACAUCCAGCACAUAAUAGAGACACUAUAAGAGCGUUGCUACCUCGUUUGCAUUAUUAUCAGGUGAGCUCUCAUUUUAGUUUAGCUGCACUAGGGUGGAAAUGUCGAAUUAAAUCUCUGUGUGGUUUAUACAAUAUAUGGUGCGUACUAAUUAAAUCACUGUGUGUGGUUUAUACAAUAUAUGGUGCGUACUAUGGAUAUUAUUGGGGAAGGAAUGUAUUUGUUCAAUACGCCCACUGAAGACUGGUCUGGUGUUGUUUUGGUUAUUGAUUGUAGUACUAUCUUCUGUUCAUGUAGUUGUUUUGAAAUAUAGUAGAAGAUGCAGCAACACAAGUGUAAAAUUUUCUCAGAUAUUGAAUGGAAAAGUCGGAUUAUAUUUGUUACUACAGAGGCACUGCUGCUGAAAGGAAGCUUUUUGUCAUGGAAAUGCACAAGAAUACAUGUCUGGCAGAGAGAUUUUGCAAAAGAUGUUAUGUCUUGUGCAUUUAUUUUGGUAACUUGCAUGUGGGUAGGAAGAAAUGCCUUUAGAAUAUUUGCUUUGGAAGUUGCUUCUUCAGUCCUUUCCUUUAAAUAUUGUCACCGCAAGCUUACAAUUUUGAGGUCCAGGACAUUUUAGAUCUUAUUUGUUUUCUCUGGGUUAAUGCCCUCCUGCUAUCUUGUUUUCUAAAUUUCUUGAUGAUGUGCCUUUUUUCUUUCAGGAUGGAACGUGUAUUGUUCAUCAUCUUUUUGGGCAGGAAGUCGUGGAUAGAAUAAAUGAGAUGUAUUGUGAUGCAUUCCUAACUGCUCACCUUGAGGUCCCUGGAGAAAUGUUUUCUUUAGCAAUGGAAGCAAAGAGGAGAGGAAUGGGGGUAGUAGGUUCCACCCAAAACAUAUUAGAUUUUAUAAAGCGGAGAGUUCAAGAGGCACUAGAUAGGAAUGUGAAUGNNNNNNNNNNNAGAAUAUUUGCUUUGGAAGUUGCUUCUUCAGUCCUUUCCUUUAAAUAUUGUCACCGCAAGCUUACAAUUUUGAGGUCCAGGACAUUUUAGAUCUUAUUUGUUUUCUCUGGGUUAAUGCCCUCCUGCUAUCUUGUUUUCUAAAUUUCUUGAUGAUGUGCCUUUUUUCUUUCAGGAUGGAACAUGUAUUGUUCAUCAUCUUUUUGGGCAGGAAGUCGUGGAUAGAAUAAAUGAGAUGUAUUGUGAUGCAUUCCUAACUGCUCACCUUGAGGUCCCUGGAGAAAUGUUUUCUUUAGCAAUGGAAGCAAAGAGGAGAGGAAUGGGGGUAGUAGGUUCCACCCAAAACAUAUUAGAUUUUAUAAAGCAGAGAGUUCAAGAAGCACUAGAUAGGAAUGUGAAUGAUCAACUCCAAUUUGUGUUAGGCACAGAAUCAGGAAUGAUUACUUCAAUUGUUGCAGCAGUUCAGCAUCUGUUGGGUUCUGCAAAGUCUUCUGGGGGAGCA